rnacentral:rRNA from 1 species
UACAGAGGUCUCAAGCGUUGUUCGGAAUCACUGGGCGUAAAGGGUGCGUAGGCGGCGGAGUAAGUCGGAUGUGAAAUUUGGAGGCUCAACCUCCAACUUGCAUCUGAUACUGCUUCGCUAGAGACCUGGAGAGGAGUUUGGAAUUCUCGGUGUAGCAGUGAAAUGCGUAGAUUUCGAGAAGAACGCUCGCAGCGAAAAGCGAAACUCUGGACAGCGUCUGACGCUGAAGGCACGAAGGCUAGGGGAGCAAACGGG